CUUCAGCCUGGAUACAAGUCAUAGACUGGGAAAUCUCUGCAGGCAAAUGUGAUGUAUUUAUAGCAAUCUCACAAUUACCUGUAGAGUUUCUGCAAUCUGAUCUCUUCAUGCACAGUAACUAU
rnacentral:pre_miRNA from 15 species